GACGAACGCUGGCGGCGUGCUUAACACAUGCAAGUCGAACGGAAAGGCCCUGCUUUUGUGGGGUGCUCGAGUGGCGAACGGGUGAGUAACACGUGAGUAACCUGCCCUUGUCUUUGGGAUAACAUCAGGAAACUGGGGCUCAUACCGGAUAGGAGCUCCUGCUGCAUGGUGGGGGUUGGAAAGAUUCGGCGGUUGGGGCUGGACUCGCGGGUUAUCAGCUUGUUGGUGGGGUAGUGGUUUACAAAGGCUUUGACGGGUAGCCGGCCUGGGAGGGGAACCGGCCACAAUGGGACUGAGAUACGGCCCAGACUCGUACGGGAGGCAGCAGUGGGGAAUAUUGCACAAUGGGCGGAAGCCUGAUGCAGCAACGCCGCGUGCGGGAUGACGGCCUACGGGUUGUAAACCGCUUUCGCCUGUGACGAAGCGUGAGUGACGGUAAUGGGUAAAGAAGCACCGGCUAACUACGUG
rnacentral:rRNA from 1 species